AUGUUUGAGACCAGCGUCUGCAGCCUAGACAGAGGACCUUCUUUUGCCCGUGCGUGCUGGCCUGUGUGUGUGGCCGCUGGGACACGAGCAGAGGGCGACGCCGGAGCUUCCUUCUCCAAUCCCGGCUUCAUCUGCCGAGUAUGCUCUGAGACCGUGAACAUGGACUUUUCUCGGCUCCACACGUACGCGCCUCCCCAGUGUGUCCCCGAGAACACCGGCUACACGUACGCACUCAGUUCAAGCUAUUCUUCUGAUGCUCUGGAUUUCGAGACUGAACACAAGCUGGAUCCUGUAUUUGAUUCUCCGAGAAUGUCCCGCCGCAGUCUGCGCCUGGUUACCACAGCCCGCGCGGCCGGGGACGGCGCCGCCGGGGACGGCGCGGCCAGACUAACCAGACAGCGCGGCAGCGCACAAAAGUCGGCGUUCAGCGUCCACCACAGCUCGAGGAGGGCCCUGUCCUCGGCUGCCAGCCGUAGCGGCUCGGCCGCCGUGCAGGCCGCGGCCUGUCUGCGGCCUCCUGUGCUGGAUGAGUCUCUGAUCCGUGAGCAGACCAAAGUGGCCCACUUCUGGGGUCUUGACGAUGACGGAGAUCUUAAAGGUGGGAAUAAAGUCGCCAUUCAGGGAAACGGUGAGGUGGCCGCGGGAGCCGCGGAGGCGGCCGGGAGCAACGGCUACACGCACAGCGACUGCAGCCGCCUCUCCGAGCACAGGGGCGUGCCCACCACCUCCCCUGCAGCCCGCGGCCCGGCCUCCAGGAUCUACUCCAGGGACAGGAGUCAGAAACCUCAUUCCAGUCACUGUGUGAGGACGGACGCGAGCGCGCGCCUCGCUGAGGACGGCCACCUCCGCGCAAACGGGGCGCCGCUGUGCGACGACUGUAAGGGGAGGAAGCGCCUGGAAACGCACGUCGCCACCCGCUCGCAGCGCUCGCGGCCAGGAGGGCUGGCAGGGACCCUGGGGCUCGCCCUGGCCCACGCAGGUCAGCUCUCGAGGCGGGCGCUGCGCAGGGCUGGAGCCGCAGGAUGGCACGUGUCCCGGAUGCUGCUGCUGGCGCUCUGCUGGGCCACAGCCGCCCCAGGGAAGGCAGCGUCGGAAGUGUUCUGGUGGCUUGGGACUGGAUGGUACCAGUUGGUCACUUUGAUCUCUUGGCUGAAUGUGUUUCUUCUUACCAGGUGCCUUCGAAACAUCUGCAAGUUUUUAAUCGUGCUCAUUCCACUGUUACUUUUACUGGGUGUUUCGUUAUGGGGCCAGGGUGACGUCCUCUCACUCCUGCCUGUGUUAGACUGGACGCACAGCCACAGAGCGCAGAGAGUGGAUGGCCCCGGAACCACGCUCACACCCGCUGCCUCCCACCCCAGCCAGCCUCUGCAGGUUGGCGAUGAGGCCUUCCACUGGCAUCGGAUGAGUGAGGUGGAGAGGCAGGUGGCCACGUUGUCGGGACGCUGUCGCAGGCACGACGAGGAGCUGGGACAGCUGGUGGCUUUGCUCCAGAAGCUGCAGGCUCGGGUGGACCUGGCGGACGGCAGCAGGGAGUGGGGGUCACCCCCGACUGACUAUGUGACGCUCCACCAAGAGCAUGAACUUCGCAUCUCCAGCCUGGAAGAUGUACUUGGAGGACUGACAGAAAGAUCUGAGGCCAUCCGGAAGGAGCUGGAGCAGGCCAGGCUGAGAGCAGCCAGUGGAGCUGGUGAGGAGCAGCACCUGCCUGCGCUGGUCGGGCGUCUGGAGCAGGAGCUGGAGCGCCUGAAGGCGGACUUGUCCAGCUGGCAGCGAGGGCAGGCCAGCUGUGAGACGGUGGAGGCCGUCCGUGAAAAGGUGGAUGUCCAGAUCAGAGAGACUCUCAGACUCAUUUUCUCUGGGGAUGAGCACGAUGCUUCUGCCGACUGGCUGCUCCAGAAGCUGUCCGCUCAGUUUGUGAGCAAGGACGACGUGCAGGCUUUGCUACGAGACCUGGAGCUGCAGGUCCUGAGGAACAUCACGCACCACAUUUCUGUGACAAGACAGAUGCCGACCUCCGAGACUGUAGUGUCUGCUGUGAGCGGAGCAGGCGUUCCGGGAAUAACCGAAGCGCAAGCACGGGUCAUCGUGAACAACGCCCUGAAGCUGUACUCCCAGGACAAGACGGGCAUGGUGGACUUCGCCCUGGAGUCCGGGGGGGGGAGCGUCUUGAGUACCCGCUGCUCCGAGACGUACGAGACCAAGACCGCGCUCAUCAGCCUGUUCGGUGUGCCGCUCUGGUACUUCUCCCAGUCGCCCCGCGUGGCCAUCCAGAGUUGCAGGCUGGAGCGUGCAAGUCCCAAGUCCGCGGUCCAGGGUGUGCCUCACGCAGCAGCUCGGGGCCCAGGAGCAGAGUCCCACACCUCACGGGCCCCGUCGUCCCCGCUCGCUCAGAGGCGAUUUCUGACGCCUCUGCUGGCCUGGCUUGUUUCUGGACUUGGCGCAGGCGAGGCUGCCCGCGCCAUCCUGUGCUGGGCCUCACGGUCUCUCGGGUGUCCCCUACAGCUCAGACCCAGGGCUGUCUGAGAGGGCACAGCCUGGCUUGCCCCUGGGGAGCCUGGCCUCUUGCAGGCUGGAAGGACCCUGCCGGGGACCCGGAGCCCCAGGCGCAGGGCGGGCGGCUGGUGCGCUUGGAGAGGCGGAGACGCACACGGGGUGCCGGGGUGGACAGGAGGUGGUCCUGGCCUC
rnacentral:lncRNA from 1 species